ACUCGGCUCGGGGCGGGGGGGGCUCCCACUCGGGAAACUCCUGCGCUUUAUGUCAAACUGGUUCUGAGAAGGGAUGGAGAUUUGUGAACCGGAAAAAAAUGAACUUCCAACAGUUGGUGGUAUAGGUCUGGGCACCCGCCACACGAGGCAGGAAGAGGUCAGCCAGACCCCUGCACCCACUGAGUCCCUCACAUCGCUGGUUUUGUCUGCGUCCAUCAGUCUGUCUUCACGGAGUGACCCCUCUACAGAUCCAGGGAGCAAAAGCUCUACAGAAGCCCCCCCUCAAUGUCCUUUGAGAUCCCAUCUGUCAAGUGGAGCCCCUCUCGUGAUUGCUGUCAUGGCGGCGAGUUUCAGCACAAAGCUUGGGGCAUAAAUGGAGCUCAGUGAUGGCAGCCUGCGAGCUGGCUACGUUUCUCUUAAAAUAUAAUCGCCUGCCUGUUGCUCAGGAUGUCAUCGGCCUAUGAGUUAAGGUGCCUCCAACAUUAAAUUCCUGAGAAUUCACGGAGUCAUGUUAUGAAGCUCAACAAAACGCCUGACACCGUGCCCUGUGGAACUUGAUGCCUAAGACUGAGAUAUGAGGACUUGAUGCCUGGAGCUGUGGCAGCCAUCCUGAUCCUAUGAGAGGCUGCUGCUGGGGAGAUCCGGGACUACUCACGAGUGUAUGCAGACAGGUGAAAGAAAGUGGGUUUUCCCGGGGAGCAUAACACAUGUCCUCACGGUCCCGCACUGUUCACACUAAAGGUGAGCCUCUCCAGCUUUCCUGUGUCUGCCUGCCGCCCCCGCUGUACGCGAACAUUUUCUUUCUGUGGGUAUUUACCAAGCGAGUCUGCCCAGAGGCCACAGGGCUUCGUGCUGGACUUUCAAGCCGGAGGACGUAUGCGUCCUCCUCGCGGAGGGAGCUGGAGGAAUCUGAAUGCUGUCUCCAAUAUCAACUCCCCGAACCCCCGCCUUCUCCUGCCUGUGAUCAGAGCCACACAGUGGCCCCAGGACGCCACGCUCCUUAACUCUUCCUCCCAUUUGGACCUCCCAUCAGUCCCCAGUGGAGAUUGGGGACAGGAGGGCCCGUGUCUCUGCCCUGGAGGGACAGCCUCGUGCCGACCAAAUGAGAAGUGUAGGAAAGUCAUCAUGGAAGCCUCCCCGGAGGUGGCGGUCCGUGUUGGCUCUGAUUAUUUCCCCCACAACCCGCCCCCCAACUGAAAGGUAACGAUCAUCACGCUGACGUUCUUUAGUGAGCAGUUACCACGUGUCCCCAACUCCUUCCAGAGCUUUAUCCCUCUUGUUCCUGUUGGCUCCCCCGCAGCCCUGAGACACGGGUCCUAUUCCUGUCACCUGUCCCACUGUGGAGGGCAAGAAGGAAAUGACUUUCCGAGCCACUGCGGCGAAGGGAGCCCUGUCUACAUGAGGCCGGGCACACAAUCGCAUGCACUCCCUACUGUAUGACCCGGGGGACCGCCAGCCAUCGGCCACGGUGCUGGGAGCCCGGACACCAGGGCCAGACCGGCUGGGGCAACACCCGGAUGACCUUGGACGAGCUUCUUAACUCUCUGCCCGUGGGUUUAUUCACCUGUACGUGAAAAAUCACUGAGAUAAGCUGUGAGGACGCAUCCUGGUGUAGAGUGUUCAAAGAUCACCUUCUUAGGGAAGCAUUUCCUAAGCUACGUCAUUUCAAGUUUCAGUCUACACCCGCAAAAAUCCCAGUCCCCCUCCCGGCUGUAUCUGUCUGUAUUUGUCCAUCUGACGUACAGUCUGUUUUGCCGCUUUACUGGCGUUUCUGUCUUCUCUCAAAUGGAGGCUCCGUGGAGACAGGACUGUUUGCGUCCGCUGCUCCCCACCACGUCCGCGUGCCCAGACCUGUGCCUCGCAGUAAACAGUCGGUGCACAGAUUCAGUAAAACGCUGCAAGCUUGGUCAGUGUCGCCCCUGCUGCCCUCCAGAGGGCUUUGCUCGAGACAUACUUCUUCAGCAAGAUGGACUUUGGGGGAGCCACUUGGUCCCCAAGAAAUCCCUCCCUCCCCGUGGCGUAAGAUCUCGGGGCCCCCUCAGGCAUCAUUCCCCUGCAUCCCUCAACCUGCCGCUUGGCCCCUUUACGGCCAGCUAUCCAUCCCGCUCUCCACUUUAUGGAGCUGUUAGAGGAAAUCGCCUUCGGCAGCAAGAUUUCUCAACCUUUAGAGCUCCGGGAUCACAGUUAAUUCAAGUGACACCUUCGUGACAUCUUGUCUGGAUGGCGUUAGGUGGGUUUCCAGGAAGCGGGGAGGGGGCGCUGAGGCCCUGGCGAAAUAAACAGGAUGUGCAGGGAAGGCUCAAAGGCAGACUUCCCAGAUGCAGUGAGGCGAGGCAUUCGCGCGUCAG